AGAGUUUGAUCAUGGCUCAGAGCGAACGUUAGCGGCAGGCUUAACACAUGCAAGUCGAACGAGAAAGUUCCCUUCGGGAGCAAGUAAAGUGGCGCACGGGUGCGUAACACGUGGGUAAUCUGCCCUCUAGCACGGGACAACGGUCCGAAAGGACCGCUAAUACCGUAUAAUCUGUUGACGGCUUCGGCUGUUACCAGGAAAGCGGCUCGCAAGAGGUCGCUGGAGGAUGAGCCCGCGUCCCAUCAGCUAGUUGGUGAGGUAAUGGCUCACCAAGGCUAAGACGGGUAGCUGGUCUGAGAGGAUGAUCAGCCACACUGGAACUGAGACACGGUCCAGACUCCUACGGGAGGCAGCAGUGGGGAAUAUUGGACAAUGGGCGCAAGCCUGAUCCAGCCAUGCCGCGUGUGUGAUGAAGGCCUUCGGGUCGUAAAGCACUGUGGAGGGGGGCAAACAAGCGAAGGAAUAAUACCCUUCGCCCUGAUGGUACCCCUUUAGCAAGCACCGGCUAACUCCGUGCCAGCAGCCGCGGUAAUAC
rnacentral:rRNA from 1 species